GAGAGGGGGUGACUAGUGACAGAGUGGGUGACUAGUGACAGAGUGAGAGAGGGGGUGACUAGUGACAGAGUGAGGGAGGGAGUGGGUGACUAGUGAGAGUGAGGAAGGGGGUGACACAGUGAGGAAGGGGGUGACACAGUGACAGAGUGAGGGAGGGGGUGACUAGUGACAGAGUGAAGGAGGUGGUGACUGUCACUAGUCACCCCAUCCCUCCCUCUGUCACUAAUCACCACCUCCCUCACUCUGUCACUAGUCACCCCUUCCCUCCCUCACUCUGUCACUAGUCACCCCCUCCCUCUCUCUGUCACUAGUCACCCCCACCCUCUCUCUGUCACUAGUCACACCCUCUCUCA